UACGUAGGUGGCAAGCGUUGUCCGGAUUUAUUGGGCGUAAAGCGCGUGUAGGUGGCCAUACAGGUCCGUUGUGAAAACUCCAGGCUCAACUUGGAGACGUCGAUGGAAACCGUAUGGCUAGAGUCCGGAAGAGGAGACUGGAAUUCCUGGUGUAGCGGUGAAAUGCGCAGAUAUCAGGAAGAACACCCGUGGCGAAGGCGGGUCUCUGGGACGGUACUGACACUGAGACGCGAAAGCGUGGGGAGCGAACAGG
rnacentral:rRNA from 1 species